AGUCACUGACAUUAGAUACCCGCGUAGUCCCAGCCGUAAACAAUGUGCGUUAGGUGUGUCGGUAACCACGCGUUACUGAUGCGCCGAAGAGAAAUCGUGAAACGCACCACCUGGGAAGUACGGUCGCAAGGCUGAAACUUAAAGGAAUUGGCGGGGAGCACCACAACAGGUGGAGCUUGCGGUUUAAUUGGAUUCAACGCCGGACAUCUCACCGGAUAAGACAGCUGAAUGAUUGUCAAUCUGAAGGUUUUACAUGACUAGCUG
rnacentral:rRNA from 1 species